rnacentral:rRNA from 1 species
UCCUGGCUCAGGAUGAACGCUGGCGGCGUGCCUAAUACAUGCAAGUCGAGCGAACGGACGAGAAGCUUGCUUCUCUGAUGUUAGCGGCGGACGGGUGAGUAACACGUGGAUAACCUACCUAUAAGACUGGGAUAACUUCGGGAAACCGGAGCUAAUACCGGAUAAUAUUUUGAACCGCAUGGUUCAAAAGUGAAAGACGGUCUUGCUGUCACUUAUAGAUGGAUCCGCGCUGCAUUAGCUAGUUGGUAAGGUAACGGCUUACCAAGGCAACGAUGCAUAGCCGACCUGAGAGGGUGA